UACGAAGGGGGCUAGCGUUGCUCGGAAUCACUGGGCGUAAAGCGCACGUAGGCGGAUCUUUAAGUCAGGGGUGAAAUCCCAAGGCUCAACCUUGGAACUGCCUUUGAUACUGGGGAUCUCGAGUCCGGAAGAGGUUGGUGGAACUGCGAGUGUAGAGGUGAAAUUCGUAGAUAUUCGCAAGAACACCAGUGGCGAAGGCGGCCAACUGGUCCGGAACGUGACGCUGAGG
rnacentral:rRNA from 1 species